rnacentral:rRNA from 1 species
GACGAACGCUGGCGGCGGGCUUAACACAUGCAAGUCGAAAGAGUGGCGAACGGGGGAGUAAUACGUGGGUAACCGGCGCUCCUUUUUGGGAUAAGCCUUGGAAACGGGGUCUAAUACCGAAUAAAGGGGGAUGGGCUCGUGGACUAUCAGCGAGUUGGUGAGGUAAUGGACACCAAGGCGCGAUCCCUAGCUGGCCUGAGAGGAUGAUCAGCCACACUGGGACGGAGAAACGGCCCAGGAUCGUACGGGAGGCAGCAUUGGGGAAUAUUGCACAAUGGGCGCAAGCCUGAUGCAGCCAUGCUGCGUGUAUGAAGAAGGCCCUAGGGUUGUAAAGUACUUUCGCUAUCGAACGGGUAGGUGGAGAAGAAGCGCCGGCUAACUACGUGCCAGCAGCCGCGGUAAUUC